rnacentral:tRNA from 1 species
GCCUUCGUGGCUUAGCGGUAGAGCGACUGCCUCGUAAGCAGUAGGUCCUGGGUUCAAUUCCCAGCGAAGGCC